AUUGAACGCUGGCGGCAGGCUUAACACAUGCAAGUCGAGCGGUAACAGAGAGAAUCUUGCUUCUCUGCUGACGAGCGGCGGACGGGUGAGUAAUGCCUAGGAAUCUGCCUAGUAGUGGGGGAUAACUUGCCGAAAGGUAAGCUAAUGCCGCAUACGUACUACGGGAGAAAGGAGGGGACCUUCGGGCCUUUCGCUAUUAGAUGAGCGCAGGUCGGAUUAGUUAGUUGGUGAGGUAAUGGCUCACCAAGACCGCGAUCCGUAACUGGUCUGAGAGGAUGAUCAGUCACACUGGAACUGAGACACGGUCCAGACUCCUACGGGAGGCAGCAGUGGGGAAUAUUGGACAAUGGGGGGAACCCUGAUCCAGCCAUGCCGCGUGUGUGAAGAAGGUCUUAGGAUUGUAAAGCACUUUAAGUUGGGAGGAAGAGAAGUUAACUAAUAUUUGACUGUUUUGACGUUACCGACAGAAUAAGCACCGGCUAACUUCGUGCCAGCCGCCGCCGUAA
rnacentral:rRNA from 1 species